CACUGAUUUAUUAAAGGGCCGCGGUAUUUUGACUGUGCAAAGGUAGCAUAAUCAUUUGUCUUUUAAUUGAAGGCUGGAAUGAAGGGUUGAAUGAGGUAUUAACUGUCUCAGUUUAAAAAAAAUAAAAAUUUAAUUUUUUAGUCAAAAAGCUAAAAUAAUUUUAAAAGACGAGAAGACCCUAUAGAUCUUUAUAAUUAUAAAUUAAAAAAAUUUUUAGAAUAAAAAUUUUUAUUUUAAUAUAAAUUAUUUUGUUGGGGUGACAGGAAAAUUUAAUAAACUAUUUUUAUUUAAAACCAAUAAUUUUUGAAAAUUUGAUCCAAUAAUAUUGAUUAAAAAAUUAAGUUACCUUAGGGAUAACAGCGUAAUUUUUUUAGAGAGUUCUUAUCGAUAAAAAAGAUUGCGACCUCGAUGUUGAAUUAAAGGU
rnacentral:rRNA from 1 species